GACAGAGGGGGCAAGCGUUGCUCGGAAUCACUGGGCGUAAAGGGCGCGUAGGCGGGAUGGCAAGUCGGUCGUGAAAUCCUUCGGCUCAACCGAAGAACGUCGGCCGAUACUGCCGUUCUUGAGGGAUGCAGAGGAGAUUGGAAUUCCUGGUGUAGCGGUGAAAUGCGCAGAUAUCAGGAGGAACACCGAUGGCGAAGGCAGCUUGCUGGGACGGUACUGACGCUGAGACGCGAAAGCGUGGGGAGCAAACAGG
rnacentral:rRNA from 1 species